rnacentral:lncRNA from 9 species
GGCUCAGGCAGGCGAUGAAGAAAAGUGAAGUGACAUCAAGGAUGUGAAACCUACCAAGAGGAAGAACAAGAAACUUCCCUGGGGACUUCCCUGGUGGCCUAGGGGUUUAAGGAUCCAGUGUUGUUACUGCUGUGGCACAGGUUUGAUCCCUGGCCCCUGUGCUAUGGAUGAAAAAGGAACAAAAGAAACUUUCCUGGAGGAACUCCCGUUGUAGCUCAGCAGGUUAAGAACCUAACUAGUAUCCAUGAGAUGUGGGUUGGAUCCCUGGCCUAGCUCAGUGGGUUAAGGAUCUGGUAGGGCCUCGAGCUGCUAUGUAGGCCACAGAUAUGCCCCAGGUUGCUGUGGAUUCAACCCCUAGCCUGGGAACUUCCAUAUGCUGCAGGUGUGGACUUAGUAAAAAAAAAAAAAAAAAAAAAAAAAAAAAAAUUGAAACUUCCCUGUAAUCAGUGCCUAUAAAAGCCUCCAAACCACACCCUUUGGCCUCUACUCAGCAGCCACCAGACACCCCAAUUCAAAUGUGCUUUGAUGGAGUUCCCGUUGCAGCUCAGUGGGUUAAGAACCCAUAUCCAUGAAGAUGCAGAUUGGAUCCCUGGCCUCCAUCAGUGGCUUAAGGAUCCAGUGUUGCUGUGGCUGUGGUGUAGGCAGGCAGCAAUAGCUCUGAUUCUACCCCUCAGCUGGGAACUUCCACAUGCUGUGGGUGUGGCCCUAAAAAAAAAAAAAAAAAAAAAAAAAAAAAAAGAAAGAAAGAAAAGAAAAGAAAAGAAAAAACGAAAAAAAGGUACUUGGAUGGUCCUUCUUGAAGCAAGAGCAGUAGGGGAAGAGGAGAGCCUGUCUUUCAUCUCCAUGUAAGACACCAAUUGCUUAAAAAAUAAUCCAGGAGACAGAUAUGAAGAGUAGCAGAUAUGAAGAGGUGCAGUCGCUGAAAAAAGGAUCAAAUUCUUGAACUCAACAUACUAGAUAUGUUUGUAAAUAAAAUUAUGACACAAAUCCCUAAAAAAAAUAAAGUUUUAUUGGAGUAUAGCUGAGUUACAAUGUUGUAUUAAUUUCUGCUGCACCACAAAGUGAUUCUGUUAGACAUAUUCACACACCCAUUCUUUUUCAGAUUCUUUUCCCAUAUGGGUUAUCACCAGUAAAAGCUCAUAACUUAAAAAAAAAAGGCAAGAGAGAAAAAAAGACAUAAGCCAGUUAGAAAAUCUGCAAAGAUCAUAAAGAGACUAAAGAAAGAGAAGAAGGGAGGGGGGAAGGGAGAACAUGGGGGGGAGGAAAGAAAGAGAAAGAAAAACACAGUCGUAGUUAAAGAGGAAGCACAGCCUCCACUAACCAAUCAAAUAAAAGCAAAUCACUUUUGGGUGAAGGAUGGUGGUGAUGGUUGCACGUCAGUAAGAACAGACUUAGCUUCACAGAAGGCUGCACUCAAAAAUGAUUAAAAUGGUCAAUUUUGUUAUGUAUAUUUUACCACAAUUUGAAAGAUAACAUAAAAUGUUCCCUCAGUAAAGCAAAAUAAAACUAAGCACAUUUUUUCACUUAAAUUGGCAAAAGCGAAAGCGUGGCAAUAUUCAGCAGGAAUGUAAAGCCUUUGUGUAAGGCAGUUCGGCACCAUUUCAAAUGUGCAUGCACUUUGACCUAGAAAUUCCACUGUAGGAAUCUGUCCUAAGGAAAUAUUGACACAUAUGUGCAAGCAAGCAAGCAAGCAAGCGCACACACACACACACACACACACACACACACACACGCACUGUAGUUUGGGAAUCAUCAGGCUGGGCUGGCUGACACAUUAGAAGGAUGGAAAAAUCUCAAAACAAUCCUUGUCAUGAAAAGUUAUAUGACCUUUUGAACAAAUGAGGAAGAUCUUUGUGUUCCAGAAUGAAACGACACUCACCAAACUGGUGACUUUUUUUUUUUUUUUUUUUUUUUUUUUGCAGCUUUGGUUCUCACUUAAGAUCCAGUAAAUUUAUUUAUUUGUUUAUUUUGUUUGUUUUUUUGUCUUUUUGCCAUUUCUUGGGCCGCUGCCGUGGCAUAUGGGAGGUUCCCAGGCUAGGGGUCAAAUCGGAGCUGUAACCACCAGCCUAUGCCAGGGCCACAGCAACUCGGGAUCCGAGCCGUGUCUGCAACCUCCACCACAGCUCACGGCAACGCCGGAUCGUUAACCCACUGAGCAAGGGCAGGGAUCGAACCCGCAACCUCAUGGUUCCUAGUUGGAUUCGUUAACCACUGCGCCACUACAGGAACUCCCCAAACUGGUGACUUCUGGGAAGGGAGUAUUUUUUUUUUUUUUCUGUCUUUUGUCUUUUUUUGUUGUUGUUCUUGUUGUUGUUGCUAUUUCUUGGGCCCCUCCCGCGGCAUAUGAAGGUUCCCAGGCCAGGGUUGAAUUGGAGCUGUAGCCACCGGCCUACGCCAGAGCCACAGCAACGCAGCAAGCAAGCGCACACACACACAGCUGCAUCUGCGACCUACACCACAGCUCACGGCAACGCCGGAUCAUCAACCCACUGAGCAAGGGCAGGGACCAAACCCGCAACCUCAUGGUUCCUAGUCGGAUUCGUUAACCACUGCGCCACGACGGGAACUCCGGGAGUUCUAUUUUUACUCUCCGUGCUUCUGUAUUGUUGAAUUUUUUUUUUUAUACCAAGUACGUAUUUAUAAUUUUUUUUUUUUCUUUUUAGGGCUGCACUGCGGGAUAUGGAAGUUCCCAGGCUAGGGGUCGAAUUAGAGCUACAACUGCCAGCUUAGACCCCAGCCACAGCUACUCAGGAUCCCAGCCAUGUCUGCAACCUACACCACAACACACAGCAACACUGGAUCCCCAACCCACUGAGCGACACCAGGGAUCGAACCCACAUCCUCAUGGAUACUAGUCAGAUAUGUUUCCUCUGCACCACAACAGGAACUCCCCUAUUUAUAAUUUAUUUAAUUUUAAUGAUUUUUUUUUUUUUUUUUUUUUUUUUUUUUUUUUUUUUACUGUGUCCACAACAUGCGAGAGUUCCCGAGUCAGGGACAGAACUUGAGCCACAACAGUGACAAUAUUGGAUCCUUAACCCACUGGGCCACGAGGCAACUCCAUUUUUUUUUUUUUUUU